ACUGGACGGCAAGUGGACGGGACGGACCCUUCGACACAGGUGUCACUGAAGCUACUGCUGGACAUCAGAUAGACACUGGACAUCAGACACUGCAGCCUCUCCGCUGAGCAUUAAGACAGGAAGUCCAUCAUUAAGCCAGAAGAAAGAAAGUCAUACAGGUUUGGAACGACAUGAGGGUGAGUAAAUAGUUUUUGGGUGAACUGUCCCUUUCACACCCAGUGGAGUAAAACAGUAAUCAGUAAUAGUUAUCUGAAUAAUAGACCUAUAUGUUUGGUGGCCUUCAUGGUCUCCAAGGUGCAGAUAAAUGAUGAAGGUUGAAUUGUGGGUGCCAUCAGGUUUGGUGGACAGCUGGUUAUUCAUUUGAGAUGGUGCAUUACUGGACUGAUGCCCAGAGCUCAGAUGGUGAGCUGAGUCUGCAUCCUCUUUAAA